rnacentral:rRNA from 1 species
GACGAACGCUGGCGGCGCGCUUAACACAUGCAAGUCGAACGGUGAACCGGGCUUCGGCCCGGGGAUCAGUGGCGAACGGGUGCGUAACACGUGGGCAACCUGCCCCUCACUCUGGGAUAACCCCGGGAAACCGGAGCUAAUACCGGAUACUCCGACCGGUCCGCAUGGUCCGACCGGGAAAGGUCCGCCGGUGAGGGAUGGGCCCGCGGCCUAUCAGCUUGUUGGUGAGGUAACGGCUCACCAAGGCGACGACGGGUAGCUGGUCUGAGAGGCCGACCAGCCACACUGGGACUGAGAUACGGCCCAGACUCCUACGGGAGGCAGCAGUGGGGAAUCUUGCGCAAUGGGCGAAAGCCUGACGCAGCGACGCCGCGUGGGGGACGAAGGCCCUCGGGUUGUAAACCCCUUUCGGCAGGGACGAAGCGAUCGUGACGGUACCUGCAGAAGAAGCCUCGGCUAACUACGUGCCAACCGCCGCAGUAA